UACCUUUAAUUGUUGCUUCGGCGGGACUUCGCGCCCGCCGGGGACCCGAACCUUCUGAAUUUUUUAAUAAGUAUCUUCUGAGUGGUUAAAAAAAUGAAUCAAAACUUUCAACAACGGAUCUCUUGGUUCUGGCAUCGAUGAAGAACGCAGCGAAAUGCGAUAAGUAAUGUGAAUUGCAGAAUUCAGUGAAUCAUCGAAUCUUUGAACGCACAUUGCGCCCGUCAGUAUUCUGGCGGGCAUGCCUGUUCGAGCGUCAUUA
rnacentral:rRNA from 1 species